CAGGGCGUAGCUCAGCUUGGUAGAGCACGUGUUUUGGGUACACGAGGUCGCUGGUUCAACUCCAGUCGCCCUGA
rnacentral:tRNA from 1 species